rnacentral:rRNA from 1 species
UACGUAGGGGGCAAGCGUUGUCCGGAAUUAUUGGGCGUAAAGAGCUCGUAGGCGGCUUAGUAAGUCGGCGGUGAAAUCCUGAGGCUCAACCUCAGGCCUGCGCGGGAUACUGCUUGGCUAGAGUCCGGAAGAGGAGAGUGGAAUUCCUGGUGUAGCGGUGGAAUGCGCAGAUAUCAGGAGGAACAUCCGUGGCGAAGGCGGCUCUCUGGGACGGUACUGACGCUGAGACGCGAAAGCGUGGGGAGCGAACAGG